rnacentral:miRNA from 10 species
UGAGGCAGGAGAAUUGCUUGAACCCAGGAGGUGGAGGUUGCAGUGAGCCGAGAUUGCGCCACUGCCCUCCAGCCUGGGUGACAGAGCGAGACUCCGUCUC